AUUGAACGCUGGCGGCAUGCCUUACACAUGCAAGUCGAACGGCAGCACGGGUGCUUGCACCUGGUGGCGAGUGGCGAACGGGAGAGUCAUAUAUCGGAACGUACCUUAUUGUGGGGGAGAACGCAGCGAAAGCUGUGCUAAUACCGCAUAAUCUCUAAGGGGGAAAGCGGGGGACCGUAAGGCCACGCGCAAUUAGAGCGGCCGAUGCUUGAUUAGCUAGAUCGAGAGGUAAAGGCUCACCAAGGCAACGAGCAGUAGCUGGUCUGAGAGGACGAUCGGCCGCAGUUGGACGAGGACACGGCGCCGAAUCCGACGGGAGGCAGCAGUGGGGAAUCUUGGACAGUGGGGGCAACCCUGAUCCAGAAAUGCCGCGUGAGUGAAGAAGGCCUUCGGGUUGUAAAGCUCUUUUGUCAGGGAAGAAACAGCAGCUCUAACACAGUAUGCGAAUGACGGUACCUGAAGAAUAAGCACCGGCUAACUACGUGCCAGCCGCCGCGGUAA
rnacentral:rRNA from 1 species